CUAGUAAUGGCAGGUCAGCAUACUGCCGUGAAUACGUUCCCGGGCCUUGUACACACCGCCCGUCACACCAUGAGAGUUGGGAAUACCCGAAGCCUGUGAGCUAACUUUUAGAGGCAGCAGUCGAAGGUAGAAUCAAUGAUUGGGGUGAAGUCGUAACAAGGUACC
rnacentral:rRNA from 1 species